CUAGAAGCCCACAGAGGAAUCGCAGAAGCUACAUCAAAGCAAACCAUAACCACCAUCGUCGGUUAUCAAAUUCGGCUUAUUAACCAGAACAACGUCCGGGCGGUUUCUGUACAUUUGCUCGCGUCCGGCGUCCAUUGUGAUGCGCGUCGGGCGUCCAUUCCUAAAAUAUGGGCUCUAGAUGGGAUUUUAUGAAAAUCUUUCUGAAAAGUUAAUGGAAUUAGGCCUGUGCAAAGAAGACUCUCUUCCUUCGCUUACCUCACUCCUCGAGAUUCAGUUCAUGGAUUCUCAAAUUCACUAAGGAAAAUCUGCGCGACAGCAGCGCCGAGGUUAGCUCUUCAGUCGCUAUCUUUUCCUUUUCUGAGAUUCAGCUAUUCGAGCUAUACAAGCAGUGUUUUCUUUUUGUCAGAUUCGAAGUUAUUACUUGCAUAUAGAUUAAGUUGAGUUUGUGCAGUCACAGACCGUUUAUGGUUCUUGGCUUUUGAUGACAUGAUUGCUGCUCGGAAAAAUUGUUUGAGUAAUAGUUACUCAAACAAAUAUUUUAUCAGUAAUUGGUGCUUUAGACCUCCAUUGAACCGGAGUUAUUGGCAUUUUAGAAGCUUUUCUUCGUAUGAACAUGGUGCAUCGAACUUGUUGGCCCGAUAUUCUGUUGUCCCUUGUGAUUUGAAACUGAUAAACAACAAAUUGGGGGCUUCAAUUCAUUUUAAUGGAACCCAAUUUGACCCGAGUUUCAAGAUUCCUCCAAAUGCAUGUUUACACCGGUAUGGGUUGAUUCCCUUCUUUUCAUUGUACUCAACUAAAGCCCCAUCAAGGCAGCUGAGGAGGGGGUACCAAGGAAAAUCAAAGUCUAACAGCAAACCUGUCCUUGACGAAGCUCAAUUUCAGGGAGCAGUUUCUCAGCUGCAGCCAAGAUUCACUAAUGAAGAACUUUUGAGUGUCAUAAACCUGCAGGGAGAUCCUGUGGUGUGUUUGGAGUUGUUCAAUUGGGCGUCGCAGCAGCCUAGAUUUAGGCAUGAUGUCUCUACUUAUCACAUCACGAUCAGGAAGCUUGGUACAGCUAAAAUGUACAAAGAAAUGGAUGAUAUUGUUAACCAAGUGCUUGCGGUUCCUUCCGUUGGCAAUGAGGCUCUUUUCAACAACAUAAUAUAUUUUUUUACUGAGGCUAGGAAGUUGACUAGAGCUGUGAAUAUAUUUAAAUACAUGAAGAAUAAUAGAAAAUUGGAUUGCAGGCCUUCGGUUAGAACGUAUAAUAUUCUCUUCACGGCAUUAUUGAGUAGAGGGAGCAAUUCUCUUAUCAAUCAUGUAUAUAUGGAGACUAUUAGAUCCCUGUUCAAGCAAAUGGUUAAUGAUGGGAUUGAACCUGAUAUAUUCUCGUUAAAUGCUAUGAUAAAAGGAUAUGUUCUUUCGCUUCAUCUUAAUGAUGCUCUGAGAAUAUUCCAUCAGAUGGGUACAGUUUAUAGUUGCCCACCUAACUCAUAUUCCUAUGAUUAUCUGAUCCAUGGGUUAUGCGCACAAGAGAGAACGGAUAAUGCAACGGCAUUGUGUGAUGAAAUGAAGAGAAAUGGUUUUGUCCCAAGCAGCAAAUCGUACAACUCACUUGUGAAUGCUUUAGCUCUUAAUGGGGAGGUCGAUGAGGCAAUCAAUUUCCUGUGGGAGAUGAUUGGGAAACGCAAAUCAGCCGAUUUCAUCACAUACAAGACAAUUCUUGAUGAGAUCUGCCGAAGUGGAAGAGCUCAAGAAGCAGUGAGAUUUUUAAAGGAGUUGCAAGAGAAAGACGUUGUGGAUGGGCAUACUUACCGGAAGCUGCAAUAUGUUCUCGAAGAUGAUUUUGGAAUUUCAAAUGGCAGGAAUCACUUCAGGUAUUGAGCGUUGGUGUUCUGUCUUUCUGGAUUUGGUGAAGUUUACUUGCUCUUUAUCUUAUGCUGGAGUCUGUCUAUUCAUGUGCAUUCAAAGCUGAUGCCCAUAUUUAGAAGAAUUGUAUGCAGUUGGCAGCUGUUCAUGCAAGAAUCUAGGAUCUAACUCCUAAGUUGAUGAAAUAUUCCAUAGUUUGAACUGUGGAAGAACUCUUUCAAUGAGAUGGAGAGGGCUAAAGCUGCAUGGUGUUCUGCCAUUACAAUGUAAUAUGUUAAGUUGCAUAUUCCAUUGUAAUGCAUUUAUAUGCCUUGCUCUUUAUUCAUAACUUGGUUGUAUAAUAUUUUGUCAUGUAUAUGAAACAUUACAGUAAUUCAACAUAGUCCUGAGAAUAACUUGUUUAAGAUCUUUUACGCUUGGCUGCUGCAAGACUA